rnacentral:lncRNA from 1 species
UUUGAUAAUAACAGAUCUUUUUUCCUCUGGAUCUAUAAUUUUUUCUAUGAGAUCUAAAAUUAGAUUAUCUUCUUGUGAUAAAGUAUGAAGAUUAUGUGAGGGGAUAGGACAAGCACAGGUAGAUUCUUGCAUUGGAUGAGAUGAUUCUGUAUUAGUAGAAGAUUCUGAAGAAUCAGAUGACUAUGUCCAUAUAAAAUUAUCUUCUUGGAUAUUUCCUAUUAAAGAUUCAUUGGAAUCUGUAUUUGAAGAGGAUGUAUCAUAAUUGAUAAUAUGAUAUAAUUUUGAUUUGCCUGACUCAUCUAGUUGUAGUGCAUCUAUUUUCUUUUUUAAUUUACAUUGGUGCUUAUAGUGGCCAAGUUUUUCACAUUUAUAACAUACUGGUAUUUUCUUUUUAUUUUUAGAGUGGGGAGAAAACUUUUUUAUAAAUUUCUGUUGUGUAGAUUUCUUAUAUUUUUUAUGUACUUUAUCCGUUUUAUAUUUUUCCUUAUAUUUUUUCUUUUUCUUAUAUAGUAGUUCAGGUUUAUUUUUUCUGUCUAUAUGGUAACCAAACUGUUCACAAAAAUCACCAAGCUCUUUGC